CCUUUGGAGUAUCAUAUCAAAUGUGAGUAGUAAUAGAUUUCCUAUUAUCAAAGCAGAUACGUCGAAAAAGGAA
rnacentral:sRNA from 12 species